CUCAUCGGAGGGGCAGAGCUACCUCACUGUGGCUGUUUAUUUAAAUGGUGGAAGACUUCCUUGACUACAUCACACACUUUUCUUCUGAGGGCCUUCAGAUGGUCUCUGUUUGCAUCUAGGGUGAAAUUGAGGCACUGAGGAUGGGGUGGAAGUUGCUGUUAAGGUCUUCACCUCCAAUCCUACAGUGACCAGUCCUGGAAUAAGGCAAGGACCUAGGUGUCCUGAAUCACCCUUUGCUUUUUAGGAACUCUCCUGCUAUCAUGUGAAGCAGCAUGGACUAGCCUACAGAGGAUGAGGCCUCAUGGAGCAGACAAGCUGUCUCAGUUGAGGCCCUCAAAACCAAUCAAGCUCCAGCUGAACUGCCAGGUGACUGUAGCUGCAUGAGUGACCCCAGGCAAGAUGAGCAGAAGAGGCCCCAACUGAGCCCAACCCAAAUAGCUGACUCAUGGAAUCAUGAGCAAAUAAAAUGGUUGUUUUAAGCCACUAAGUUUUUAGAUGGUUUGUUACCCAGCAAUACAUAAUUGGUUUAUCAGAUAUCACAGCUAUUUUAUAGAUGAAGAAACUGACUCUCCAAGAAUUUGAUUGACUUGCACAUCAGGACAAGGACUGGGAUGGAAAGAGAAAGCCA
rnacentral:lncRNA from 1 species